CUCAUUUGCACGACCACACUUGAAGCUGUUCAAGGGUCCUGGAGUGUUGCAAACAUUUUUGAGGCAAGCUGACACCAUGAUCUAUCAACGCUUCAUGCUUCUGGCACUUGUAGUGCUCCUGUCCAUCACAUAUGAUGCCAAUGCCGCUGUUGCAUUUCCCUGGGGCUGCACCGACUACAAAGGCGUCUGCAGACGCUUCUGCCUCCCUGCAGAAUUCCCAUUUGCAAUCUUCAAGUGCGGAGGUGCUGGAUUUAUAUGCUGCCUCUCACAUAUUUAAACAACAUGGAGAGUCACAUACUCUCAGUUAGUAGUCUCGCUUCAUUUUGAAUACUCUUGUGAUUCCAAUAUACCAAGGGGACCCGAUCGGCACAUGCGCCAGUGUCAGCAGGCCUUCCUGUACACAUGUCCCCUCCACUGAUGGAUUAGUUCCUUACUGAUGACCCAGGCAUGCGGGGCUGCAGGAGUAAACUCAUUUUAAAUAUAUUUUCUUUUUAACUACCUCUUCUUUAAAGAAAAA